AAGUCGUACGCACUGGCCCCAACUGAUUGAUGGUGCUUGCACCUGAUUGACGAUGGAUCACCAGUGAGUCGCGCACGGGUGAGUAACACGUAGGCAACCUGCCCCGGAGCGGGGGAUAACAUUUGGAAACAGAUGCUAAUACCGCAUAACAACAAAAGUCACAUGGCUUUUGUUUGAAAGAUGGCUUUGGCUAUCACUCUGGGAUGGACUGCGGUGCAUUAGCUAGUUGGUAAGGUAACGGUUUACCAAGGCGAUGAUGCAUAGCCGAGUUGAGAGACUGAUCGGCCACAAUGGAAAUGAGACACGGUCCAUACUCCUACGGGAGGCAGCAGUAGGGAAUCUUCCACAAUGGGCGCAAGCCUGAUGGAGCAACACCGCGUGAGUGAAGAAGGGUUUCGGCUCGUAAAGCUCCGUUAUUGGAGAAGAACGUGCGUGAGAGUAACUGUUCACGCAGUGACGGUAUCCAACCAGAAAGUCACGGCUAACUACGUGCCAGCAGCCGCGGUAAUACGUAGGUGGCAAGCGUUAUCCGGAUUUAUUGGGCGUAAAGCGAGCGCAGGCGGUUGCUUAGGUCUGAUGUGAAAUUCGGCUUAACCGAAGAAGUGCAUCGGAAACCGGGCGACUUGAGUGCAGAAGAGGACAGUGGAGCUCCAUGUGUAGCGGUGAAUCGAAUUCCCGGCG
rnacentral:rRNA from 1 species